UGGAGGCCUGCGACCCCGCUAGCGCUCCAGCAAGCGGGAGGAACGCGUCCAGUCUAUUCGCGAGAUCCAGCUGCCGGUCCCUGGAGUCUAUUCGCGCGAGGCAGCGGCUGCACCGACGGCCCGAGGUUCCCGGUCAGCGGGUUGCGGAGUAUCGUGCGGGUAGCAAGGGGAGGGCGAGUGCUCCUGCGGCCCCCAGACGGCAACCAGUUGGCUGGGAUGGAGAUGACAAUAGUACAAUGGCGACCACGUUUUGAAGAUGGCAGACCAUCUACACAGAAGGUGCCUAGGACCCUGAAUCACCACUUAGAAGAGGGCAGCCCAGCUAUUAACUGUUUUGGAAGAUUGCAGGAGAACCUGCAGCCAAUGUAAUUGUGCCUUGGGGACAGGGAAAUACCCAGACCUUUUGAAAUAGACUGGAUACUGGUUCUGAGUUAAUCCCCUGUGACCUAGACAUCACCAUGGUCCACCAGUCAGAGAGGGAUAAAGUCAUACGUGAAGAGUCAGCCUGAGUCCUUCUCAUAUUGGGCCCAGGGGAUCGCAAAUCCCAUCCUGUGGUUUGCUGGUUCCUGGACACAUUAUGGGAAUACACAUGGUAUAGAUGGCAUAAAGGGUAGGAGAGCUACAUAUGAAGAACAAAGUAGUGAGUGGAAAGAUCAGACUGAGGAUCUCUUCUGGAAAUCAACAGGUAAGAAUAAAGAGAUAUAAAAUAUUUUUUAAAAAACUAAAGACAUGGGGGGUAAUAUUAGAAGUGGCCACAUUGUGAUAAUAGGAAUCCCAGACACAGAGAAAGAUAAAAAUGGAAAAACGGAUCUAUUUUGUGAAUGAAUGCCUGGACAGAGGACACCAUGUGACCUGUGCAAGCUGAGCUGCCAUGGCAACAUGUGUUAACGGUCCCAUCAAGCCAUGAGGUUGUCUAUGUGCAGCAGCACUCUGCCACCAAAAAGAGUAAGCUGCCUGAGCAGGUGGCUCAUACUCCCACUGGCUGCACUGCCGCCCAUUUCUCACACCUGAGUCUCAUGGGGCGUUCCCUGUGACCAGGUGACUCAGAGGCACAAUAUUCAAGCUUGGUUCACAGAUGGUUUUGCAUAAUAUGCUGGCACCAGCUGGACAUGUCUAGCUGCAGUGUGAUAGCCCCACUUAGGGUUGAUCCUGGGGACAAUGGGAAGGGAAAUUCUCACUGCCUGGUUGCAUAGAUGGUUAGAGGUGUAGAUACCACUGAUCCGUGAGUAGUUAGUAAUGAUUUGGCUAGGUGGUCAAGGACUUGGAAAGAAUAGGAUUGAAAUAUUGUUCAAGGAGGAGGUCUGGGGAAGAGGCAUAUGGAUGUCCCUUUUGGAAUGGGCACAGAGUGUGAAGAUAGUCACAUCCCACAUAAAUGAGCACCAGAGAGCAUCCACUAUGGAGAAAGAUCUCAAUGAGUUGGACAAGAUGUCCUGUCCUGUGGAUGUCAGCCAACCUCAGUUCCUUACCCAAUGGACUCCUGAACAAAAUGGCCAUGGCAGCAUGCGUGGAGUUUAGGCACGGGCUCUAUAAUACAGACUUUCACCAAGGCCAGUCUGGCUAUAACAACUGCUGAGUGCCCAACCUACCGACAGCAGAGUCACACCAAGCCCCGCUAUUGGAACCAUUUGUCAGUGGCAACUGAUUACAGAGACAGUACAAAAUGAAAAGAAACCAUUGGACCCCCAACAUUUUACUGGCAGGAAGCAGACUGGGGAAACUACUCAGCCGCAAAUAUGGGAUAACUUUCAUGAAAAAGGAAGAAAGGCACAGAGGGUGGGACCAAGAGCCCAGAAAGCAGAGCCAAGAGCCAUGGAGAAUUAUUCCCAGGCCUUGAAACCUAAUCCAGGAACUUCCAUGUGCCCAGCGGGAUUUCACAAUUGCUAUAGACCAGUGACUCCUUUGUGUCUCCCAUUUCCCCCGUUUUUUAAAUGGAAUGGGACUUCCCUGGUGGCGCAGUGGUUAAGAA